GUGUCAAGCACAUUUGUACAUUUGUUGCCAUCAUCAUUCUCAAAAUAUUUUAGUCACUACCUCUUCUGAGACAC
rnacentral:snoRNA from 1 species